rnacentral:pre_miRNA from 1 species
CAGUUACUCCCUCCGUUCGGAAUUACUUGUCUCGAAAAUGGAUGUAUCUAGAACUAAAAUAUGUCUAAAUACAUCCAUUUCUACGACAAGUAAUUUCGAACGGAGGGAGUACAAA